AUGGUCAUAUCACGUUGAAACACUAAUUUCCAUGUUAUCACCGAAUUUAAGCAACAUUGAGCCUGGUGAAUACUUAGAUGAGUGACUGCUUGGGAAUAGCAGGUGCUGUA